AUCAAUAUAGCAUUUAUGUAUUAGAUUUAAGCUCUAAAGGUGAGUAUUAAACUCUUUUGGUA
rnacentral:tRNA from 1 species